GACGAACCGUGCGAACGUUGUUCGGAAUCACUGGGCUUAAAGGGCGCGUAGGCGGACCGCCAAGUCCGAGGUGAAAUCCUCCAGCUCAACUGGAGAACUGCCUCGGAUACUGGAGGUCUCGAGGGAGGUAGGGGCAAGCGGAACUGUGGGUGGAGCGGUGAAAUGCGUUGAUAUCCACAGGAACUCCGGUGGCGAAGGCGGCUUGCUGGACCUUUUCUGACGCUGAGGCGCGAAAGCCAGGGGAGCAAACGGG
rnacentral:rRNA from 1 species